rnacentral:rRNA from 1 species
GAUGAACGCUGGCGGCGUGCCUAAUACAUGCAAGUCGAGCGAACAGACGAGGAGCUUGCUCCUCUGACGUUAGCGGCGGACGGGUGAGUAACACGUGGAUAACCUACCUAUAAGACUGGGAUAACUUCGGGAAACCGGAGCUAAUACCGUAUAAUAUAUUGAACCGCAUGGUUCAAUAGUGAAAGACGGUUUUGCUGUCACUUAUAGAUGGCUCCUCGCCGCAUUAGCUAGUUGGUAAGGUAACGGCUUACCAAGGCAACGAUGCGUAGCCGACCUGAGGGGGUGAGCGGCCACACUGGAACUGAGACACGGUCCAGACUCCUACGGGAGGCAGCAGUAGGGAAUCUUCCGCAAUGGGCGAAAGCCUGACGGAGCAACGCCGCGUGAGUGAUGAAGGUCUUCGGAUCGUAAAACUCUGUUAUUAGGGAAGAACAAAUGUGUAAGUAACUAUGCACGUCUUGACGGUACCUAAUCAGAAAGCCACGGCUAACUACGUG